rnacentral:misc_RNA from 2 species
UUUCCGUAGGUGAACCUGCGGAAGGAUCAUUACAGAGUUCAUGCCCGAAAGGGUAGACCUCCCACCCUUGUGUAUUAUUACUUUGUUGCUUUGGCGAGCUGCCUUCGGGCCUUGUAUGCUCGCCAGAGAAUACCAAAACUCUUUUUAUUAAUGUCGUCUGAGUACUAUAUAAUAGUUAAAACUUUCAACAACGGAUCUCUUGGUUCUG